CUACCUAGGACUAGCUGAAGAUUUUCUGUCAAAGACUGUGAUCUUUGGGCUGUGCCACGGAAGCUCAUGGUACCAUCUACAUUUUUGGCACAAGAGAACAGAUGUGCAGAAAUACUUCGCAUCCUCAACUCUGCUUGAGGUCUGUGCACCUCUGAAAAUCAGGACAGACGCCUUUCAGAAGCUGUGCAUCUUCACAUCAUCUCCAUUAUAUGCACAGGCCUUAAAAAUACCCUGCAGUCUAUGAGCCUACUUGCCCUGGUCAUGGACCUCAUUAUGCUACAAACACAGAACAAAAAGACAAUCCCCAUCAAAAGGAGUUUUCAACCUCCAGGUUUCAAGCUCUGUGGGAACUGGAGUUAUUCUUUCCCAUGAGAUUUUCCAUGCCAAGUACCAUGGAGACCUGUUCCAGAAAGCUCACUGAAGUCAGGGGAAAGACUCCAGUUGACCUCAAGUGGCUGUGUAUCAAAUCCUGGAGGCCUUUGCACACUGGUAUAAAGUGAAUAAUAAAUGUUUUAAGAGCAUAUGGUCCUAUGUCAUGAGCAAAACCUUAGACUAAUAUGCCUUAACAAUAAGCUUUGUUCCCUAGUUGUCAUACAGUUGUCCAUUGUAUGUAGAUAGCUAUCCAAGGAUACAUCUACACUACAGAGAACAACCAAAGCUGCUACUGUCAAUCUUCCAGGGUUCAAAUUAGAUCAGUGUUUCUUAAACUGCGCUCCGUGGCACACCGGUAUGCUGCGGAGAACAAUAGAAUUCAAAAUGGCCACCCUAAAAGGGGCAGGCGACCUUUUUUUUUUCUCACUAAUUUUUCCCCAAGCCUGUGUUCUUCAUAACAAAAAAUUAUUGUUUUGUGUUCCUCUGUCUUAAAAAGUUUAAGAAACACUGAAUUGGACGGUCUAGUGAAGACAGCAAAUUCUAACUAAGAGUAGCACUCUGGGCGAUGCCAGUUGUCCUGCUUCCAUGAGGGGGAAGGGAAGUUGAAGCGAGAGUGUUCUUACUUUGACUUCCUGCGGUGUGGACAGCACCAAAAGUUAAGGUAUUUCGACAUCAGCUACGCAAUUAAUGUAGCUGAAUUUGUUUAUCUUAAUUUGACUUUAUGCUGUAAUGUAGACAUACCCCAAUUGCUUAGCCAUUUCCUUGGGGAAAGAUCUGAAUAAGCAGAUACAUUUCUCUGCCCAUUUUGUGGUAGGUGAGAUCUACAGUUCUGUAUUCACAAUACAUUUAUCCCAUUCUCAGAUUAAGCCUGCAGGAAGGGUCAUCUGGUGGGAUGGAACCUGAGACAACUGGGUUUAAAAAUUUGAUUGCUGGAAUUAAAGGAUUAAAUCUAAACAUUUAAAAGCAGUAGCAGACUCAAACUUCUAGAAGGGUGCUUGGUCCUGCUGUGAGGGCAGGGGACUGGACUUGAUGACCUCUAGAGGUACCUUAAAGUUCUAGCGAUCUAUGAAAAUGUUGUACUGUAGUAAUGUGGGUUAUUUGAUUAUGCCUGGGGCAUAAAAUUCCUGCAAAGGCUUUACUCAGAGAAUUCUGAAUUAUUCUCCUAUGUAAGGGUCUGCAGGAUUUACUACUCUUCACUCCUCCCACUCUUUUAAAAUUCCUUCUUUCCUCCAAGUGAUUUUCUGUCCUGCACGAUGAAUUCCAUUGAAUAAUACUGGGUUCCUGUACAUUAAAAAUUAUCUCUGUCAAAAAGGAGAACUUGUUAAAGGGCUAGAACUGAUUGUAUUUCACAAUUUAAAAAAAAUAAUUUACCUUGUGUACAUUGAAACUGUGUGGUCUAAUGGUGAAUGCCACAAAGGGUAAUUGGAUUCUGUUCCCAGCUCUGCCAUUAAUAUGCUUUGUGAUUUGGGGCUAGUUGCUUUUUCUCUCUGUACCUGAGGUACUUCCACCCUUUCUCUGUCUUCUUUCUUUACAUGAUAUGGCGUUGAGAUCAGGGAAUGUCUCGUAUUCUAUGUAGAAGGCCCAGAACAGGGGACCCAGAGAAGGGGUAGUCUCCAGGUGCUAUCUCAAUGCAAUUCAUGAAAAUAUUAGGUACAUUAUUUAAGAAGCAAAUAUUCAUCAUAUUGUAUCUCUGUAGCACUCCAAACACCUAAAAUCUUCAGGAGUGAGAUGCUGAGCCUGAGAAAGAAAUAAGUGUCUAUUUACUCUGCAUUGGAUAGCAACCUGGCACCAAACAUUUUAUAACUUCAUUCAAUUUACAUGUAACAAAUUUAGCCUGCCAUAAACUAUGCAUGUGCCACUUUAAGUCCUUUUCUGUGCAUUAAACACAGCGUUUAGUCAAUGACUUGACACCUGCAACUUCUAUAAUCAGACACAAAUUAAUUAGCAUCAGUGUGUCAGGUAUUAAUUAGAAUAAUUGACUAAUGUCUUUCUAGUGGAACACUGCUUUUUGAUUAAUUUUAUGCACUUAGUGAAAUGGGAAAUGCAACCAUAAAGAUGCAGAAAGCCCCUGGAGGUCAUCUGCCUCCUUCUGCUAAUGUUAGUUUAUUAUACCCUUGAGUGCCUUCCCGGUCUAGUUUAAAACACUAGUGCAGUAUGGCUUCCACCAUUCCUCUGAGGUCUUCUCUGCCUCUAUGACUAGAGAUUGUCACUGGAAGUGGCUAUGAAAUGAAAGACGGUUACUCUAUGGCCUAUUGCACUGUCCACUUUUCUGAGAACUUCCCCUGAGUGUAACGCUAGCAGCCCCUUUUACCUCAAAGUGGCUGCCACCUGCAUAGAAGACACAAUCUCAUACAUAGACAAAUUCCAGUGGGACUGAGCCGUUCCUUCUUUAGGGGACUGAGUGUAGUUAGCUCCUAGCUACGUUCACUCCAAACCCUUGCUGAGAGUUAACUCUGCUUCCAGCCCAAGGCUGCAGUGUAACUGGGUCUCCAUGCCACUUGGAUAAAGGUCAAGUAGUGUCCCUUCCAGAAGGCACUAGAAGAAAGCCCUGCUCGCCCUCCGCAGGGCCAUGGUGAGGCAGUGCAGUGGGGUGGUAGAACUUGUUUGACCCACGUCUAUAACUGUGCCAUAACUGCAAACUUCAGCUGGGGCCUAAGCUCUCAGGUUAGCCUAGCCGGGAUGUGCGUGUUCCCACCACAGCGCCAUACCCAUGUUACUGCACCCUCACUCUUGCUGCACUCACCUGCCCAGUGCUGUGGGUCUCUGGGAUUCUUUUCCUGUUAGUUGUGUCAUUAUGGGAGCACUUUUGUCUGUUGAGGGAACUGGUGGAAAGGGCAUUGUUGGACUGUCAGCAUACCAGUGGUUUCACCAGUGACCUCACUGUAGGUCCAGCUCAGAUAAAAGUGGCCAAUGAAACCUAAAACCUGGGCAAGAUCUUGGGUUAACACUGCAGUGUAGACAUAC